GACGACGCUGGCGGCGUGCCUAAUACAUGCAAGUAGGACGAGUUGCGAACGGGUGAAUAAUGUCUGGGAAACUGCCUGAUGGAGGGGGAUAACUCCUGGAAACGGUAGCUAAUACCGCAUACCAUCGGAUGUGCCCAGAUGGGAUUAGCUAGUGGGUGGGGUAAAGGCUCACCUAGGCGACGCUCCCUAGCUGGUCUGAGAGGAGGACCAGCCCAACUGGAACUGAGACACGGUCCAGACUCCUACGGGAGGCAGCAGUGGGGAAUAUUGAACAAUGGGCGCAAGCCUGAUGCAGCUAUGCCGCGUGUAUGAAGAAGGCCUUCGGGUUGUAAAGUACUUUCAGCGGGCAGGCGUUACCCGCAGAAGAAGCACCGGCUAACUCCGUGCCAGCCGCCGCGGUAAUAC
rnacentral:rRNA from 1 species